rnacentral:misc_RNA from 1 species
GAUGAAGAACGCAGCGAACUGCGAUAAGUAAUGUGAAUUGCAGAAUUCAGUGAAUCAUCGAGUCUUUGAACGCACAUUGCGCCCCCUGGCAUUCCGGGGGGCAUGCCUGUCCGAGCGUCAUUGCUGCCCUUCAAGCCCGGCUUGUGUGUUGGGUCGUCGUCCCCCCCGGGGGCCGGGCCCGAAAGGCAGCGGCGGCACCGCGUCCGGUCCUCGAGCGUAUGGGGCUUUGUCACCCGCUCGAUUAGGGCCGGCCGGGCGCCAGCCGGCGUCUCCAACCUUCUAUUUUACCAGGUUGACCUCGGAUCAGGUAGGGAUACCCGCUGAACUUAAGCAUAUCAAUAAGCGGAGGA